rnacentral:rRNA from 1 species
UACAGAGGUCCCAAGCGUUGUUCGGAUUCACUGGGCGUAAAGGGUGCGUAGGUGGUCGGGUAAGUCUGAUGUGAAAUCUCCGGGCCUAACCCGGAAACUGCAUCGGAUACUAUUCGGCUAGAGGGUUGGAGGGGGGACUGGAAUACUUGGUGUAGCAGUGAAAUGCGUAGAUAUCAGGAGGAACACCGGUGGCGAAGGCGGGUCUCUGGGCCGAUAUCGACGCUGAGGAGCGAAAGCGUGGGGAGCGAACAGG